GAUGAACGCUGGCGGCGUGCCUAAUACAUGCAAGUCGAGCGAAGAUUUUCUGGUGUUUGCCCUCGAACAACUUCGCGGCGCACGGGUGUGUCACAUGUAUAGCACCCGUCUCAUAGUCUGGUACCUCCAUUGGAACCGAUCGCUAAUCCCGGAUUAUAGCAUUACCUGCAUGUCUGUUGUUUAAAAGUUGUUUUUUCUCACUUUUUGAGAUGGCCUUGCCGUGCAUUAGCUAGUUGGUGGGGUAAAGGCUUACCAAGGCAACGAUGCAUAGCCGACCUGAGAGGGUGAUCGGCCACACUGGAACUGAGACACGGCCCAGACUCCUACGGGAGGCAGCAGUAGGGAAUCUUCCGCAAUGGGCGAAAGCCUGACGGAGCAACGCCGCGUGAGUGAAGAAGGUUUUCGGAUCGUAAAGCUCUGUUGUUAGGGAACAAUGAAUGUGUAGUAACUAUACACAGUAGAGACGGUACCUAACCAGAAAGCCACGGCUAACUACGUG
rnacentral:rRNA from 1 species